rnacentral:lncRNA from 1 species
AAUUGUCCUGAUAUUUAAAUACAAUUGUUAAUCUGGACCAUGAUGAAAAUUGUUUAAUUUUUAUUAAAAAAUAGAAAUUAAGGAAACACACUUUUUUGUAAUGAUAAAACAUAAAAUUAUUGGUGUUGAUAUUUGAUGUGUGCCUCUCCUUCACAUAUCUCAACAGUUUUUUAGUUAGACAAUGGUGAUAUGUGAUUUAAAAAAAAAAUGAAAG